rnacentral:rRNA from 1 species
CCGGGGUGGACAUACCGCUGGUGCACCAGUUGUUCCGCCAGGAGCACAGCUGGGUAGCUAUGUAUGGACGGGAUAAGCGCUGAAAGCAUCUAAGCGUGAAGCCCCCCUUGAGAUGAGAUUUCCCACAGAGUUAAUCUGGUAAGACCCCUCAUAGACGAUGAGGUUGAUAGGUUCGGUGUGGAAGCGCGGUAACGCGUGGAGCUGACGAAUACUAAUCGGUCGAGGGCUUAUCCACAA